CCUACGGGGGGCAGCAGUGAGGAAUAUUGGUCAAUGGACGAGAGUCUGAACCAGCCAAGUAGCGUGAAGGAUGACUGCCCUAUGGGUUGUAAACUUCUUUUAUAUGGGAAUAAAAUGUUCCACGUGUGGGAUUUUGUAUGUACCAUAUGAAUAAGGAUCGGCUAACUCCGUGCCAGCAGUCGCGGUAAUACGGAGGAUCCGAGCGUUAUCCGGAUUUAUUGGGUUUAAAGGGAGCGUAGGUGGAUUGUUAAGUCAGUUGUGAAAGUUUGCGGCUCAACCGUAAAAUUGCAGUUGAAACUGGCAGUCUGGAGUACAGUAGAGGUGGGCGGAAUUCGUGGUGUAGCGGUGAAAUGCUUAGAUAUCACGAAGAACUCCGAUUGCGAAGGCAGCUCACUGGACUGCAACUGACACUGAGGCUCGAAAGUGUGGGUAUCAAACAGGAUUAGAUACCCGAGUAGUC
rnacentral:rRNA from 1 species